UUUUUUUCACACAGUUGCUGAAUUAUUUGGAUACAUUCAUUAAGUUGUUUGAACUUGCAGCCACAAUGAAAAAAUACAGAAAUAUCGGAUUGCUGUGAAAUGUCAGAGACCCCAAGAAUCAGAGCACCAUCCUUCUGGCAGUGGCUCCUUAUCUACGCGAGACACCUUUGUAGACCUAUUAUCAUAGCUGACCAUAUUUGAUUACAAAAAGAAGAAAGAAGAAGAAGAAAGAGGAGGAGGAGAAGGAGGAGGAGGAGGAGUGAAAUCAUGGAGAAUCAGUGUCCAACCACAUCCAAGAGAGAUGAGAAACAUUUAUGAGCGGGAGUCACUGGUAUUGUUGGAAUACAAGCAGACCUUCAGAGGAUAGCCAGAAGCCAGGAGUAAUCAGGAUAAGUUUGUUAAGUAUGUCUGAACGAAAAAUACAAAAGAGGAUUAGCAGGACAAGCGCAGGAAAUGAAGAAGGAAAGAAGAGAACCAAGAUUUCUGAAGAGGAAUACACUUAAGCACAUUUACAAUAAGAGCAGAAUGGCUGAGACUGUUGCUAUCUGAUCCUGUUCUCACAUUGUUCACUGUCCCUACAAAUGAAAAAUACUAGAUUUAAAGAUUAUAAAUAUCUGCCUUUGCCACUUCGUUGCUACCAUUCAUCUUACUUGAGAGCCUUGGAGUUUUAAUGGCUCUGUUUAGUGGGUGAACAAA